UACGAAGGGGGCUAGCGUUGCUCGGAAUUACUGGGCGUAAAGCGCACGUAGGCGGCUUUCUAAGUCGGGGGUGAAAUCCUGGAGCUCAACUCCAGAACUGCCUUCGAUACUGGAGAGCUCGAGUCCGGGAGAGGUGAGUGGAACUGCGAGUGUAGAGGUGAAAUUCGUAGAUAUUCGCAAGAACACCAGUGGCGAAGGCGGCGCACUGGCCCGGUACUGACGCUGAGGUGCGAAAGCGUGGGGAGCAAACAGG
rnacentral:rRNA from 1 species